rnacentral:rRNA from 1 species
UGCGUAGGUGGUCUACUAAGUUGGGUGUGAAAUCCCUCGGCUCAACCGAGGAACUGCGCUCAAUACUGGUAGACUUGAGGGAGACAGAGGUGAGCGGAACUGAUGGUGGAGCGGUGAAAUGCGUUGAUAUCAUCGGGAACACCUGUGGCGAAAGCGGCUCACUGGGUCUCUUCUGACACUGAGGCACGAAAGCCAGGGGAGCGAACG